AGCAGUAGCCGCGGUAAUACGGAGGGGGCUAGCGUUGUUCGGAAUUACUGGGCGUAAAGCGCACGUAGGCGGCUUGGUAAGUUAGAGGUGAAAGCCCGGAGCUCAACUCCGGAAUUGCCUUUAAGACUGCCGAGCUAGUAGGUGAGAGAGGUAAGUGGAAUUCCGAGUGUAGAGGUGAAAUUCGUAGAUAUUCGGAAGAACACCAGUGGCGAAGGCGACUGACUGGACAAGUAUUGACGCUGAGGUGCGAAAGCGUGGGGAGCAAACAGGAUUAGAUACCCCUGUAGUCCCUGUCUCUUAUAA
rnacentral:rRNA from 1 species